GCAGCAGCAGCAGCCAGGACCAACAGAUCACAGAGAGACAACAGAAAGACGAGAGUAAAACACAUGUGGACAUGCUCUGAUUAUUUAACAAGAAGAGCCAAAGGGAAGUUCAAAACGUCAGUGGUGUUUCUAAUUAGGAAAGUGAGUCGUUGGUGGAACCUGUACACCCAGUCCUGGAAUAAGGAGUUUAGAAGUUUAAUCAUGAAUGUGGCCAGCAGGAGUACAUGGACACCAUGCUGCCCCACCAGAGCAUGGCACAAAGGAAACAGUCUGUCAGAAUAAUAUAGACGUCAGACAAAAGUGAUUUCAUCAAACCCAAGAAAACAGUAUAAAAAUUAAAAAAUUUUUUUUUUUUUUUUUUAAACAUGUCGGAAUAAGAAAAACGCUCGCGCAGCUCUUGCCUCUGCACCUACGAGCUCUCAACAAAUGUAAAAAUCCACCUCUUUAUGAUUCUUGUCUUGUUUCACAAUGAGAAUUUCAACUUUGCUACAGUUGGUUUUAACACAGACAACACGAAUGUUUUUGUUGAAUGUGCCACUGCGGAUAAAUCAGCGCGGAGUUUGAUCCUGCCUCGAAAAUCUGCUGCUUUUCUGUUGUGCAUGUGUCGUUAUCUGGUUUUUUUGUUGUUGUUUUUUUGUUUUUUUAAAAAAAAAAAAAAAUCAGACGUCUAAUGACAUUCCUCCAACAUGAUGGCUCAUCAAUAAUUAAAUGUUGACCUCCCCACACAUUUGGCCGCAUCAAUUAUUCAUCUGUAAUUGAAUUUGUGAUUUAAGUUUUCGUUUCAGCCUAAUUUGGAUGAUUCAGUUGAACAGUACAUCGCGUCUGUGCGGAGAUGACAGUGUGAGGUUUUCUUUUUUUUUUAAGCUUUGUUGGUAUAACGAGAGGCCCCAGUGACUCCUUUACUUAACAGCAGGGAGAUCAAAUUUAUAGUUUUUGUUGGUGCCAUAGUUUUGAUGUUGAUUGACAUGGAAGUUAGCUAAGACUCUUUAAUUAAAAACUGAUUCUGUUAAUUAGACUAUGGCAAAAAUACAAAUAAAGUACAGUAGUUUAACUAGAAGCUUCUUUCUCAGCAAGUCAACUUGAUUCUACAACUUUCACCUGGCUGUUAACAGACAGGCCUCUAGGCCAUUCUUUGCACUGAAGUGAGAGAUGUUGUCCUAUAAUGCGCUCUUAUUAUCAACAUUACAUUUUCUUUCUACACCAAUUUCAUUAAUUUGAAAAAAGUGACCAUGUAAAAAUCUAUUAGUAUUAAAUGUUUUGUUUUUUGUUUUUUUGUGGUGCAAAUUUUGAUUAUUUGAUUUUUUUUUUAAACUGUUGAUGUUUUCAUUUCAAAUUGAACAAAGGUCAUUAUGAACAUGAAACAAACGAGAAGUUGCAAGUUAACAACGUUGGCAAGUUGAGCAGUCAGCUGUAAUAAAGAUGAAAUAAUAACAACAACAAUAAUAAUAAUAAUAAUUAUUAUUAUUAUUAUAAUAAUUAUAAGCUACUGCAGCCGGAGAAAGGCUGAAUGAAAUCAAAAGGAAAAUAAACUUUCACACAAAAAUAACAACAGCAAAAUCAUCAAAAGCACCGAUAAUAAUAUAAUAUACAAAAUCAAACAACAACAAUAAUAAUAACUAUAGCCUCAUAAUGAUAAUAAGAAUGAAAAUAAUAAUAAAAGCUAAAAAAAAAAAAAAAAAAAUCUAAUUUAGAAUUCUACAGGGUCUAAUGAUUAAUUGAUUGAAGGACAUAUCUGCCUCAAGCGGCUGUAGAAUUUUCACAAUUUAUACCAUGACCUUCUUUAGUGCUUUUUCGUUUUGUUUGAAUAUUAAUCCUGGUGUCUUUUUACAGAUGCUGCUGACUGGGAGGCUCACACAUGCCCGUCGGCCUGUUUGGAGAAUGACCAGUUGAUUGGAAAAACACCAAAAACUGCCUCUAAACCCCAAAUAAUCCCACGACACGAUUUGUUUCUUAACCCUUAAUUAAUGUACAAAUAAGAGUCGGUAGAGAGAGAAAGAGAGAGAGAGAGGGAGGGAGAGAGAGAGGGAGAGAGACAGAGAGAGAGACCGCAGCGUGGACUCAGCAGCUACCAGCUCCAGCCGGAGAGCUGCAGGAGGCCACACACAGUCUCCACAAGUCACAGUUAGCAAACGUGACCUGAUGUGAGGUCACCUAAACUGCAGCACACACUGGCUGUCAUUGUGUCUCCAUGUCUCCACCCAUUCUGUGAGCGGGGACGGCCUCAGCAGCGAGUGGAUUUGUUCUGGGCUGGGCAGGGGCUUCCUGUGAACGGGAGGGAAACAUGGGCGCUGGCCAUCACCUCGACCGAAUCCAGAACCAAAAUGAGGGAGGGAGACUCACAGAGACAGACAGACAGACAGACAGAUAGAGGCAGACAGAAACUGAAACAAUGAGUGAGUGAGAAUGCAAUAAAGAAUUAUGAUUAUAUAUUGAUAAUCAGGACAAACCAAGAAACAUGACAGCCAUAUAAACCACGGCAACGCCAUUUUAGAAUGGAAAAAAAGAAAAAGGAAAAUGAAUAUUCAUGACCCUGUCCCUCCCAUCCAAAUUCAGCACCCUCCCUCCCUCCCUUCCCACCCAAAUCCUCCCUCCUCCUCACUUCCUCUCCCCUCCAUUGGGUGGCAACACUUGGUAGGGCACAUGGUGAGACAGCUGUUGCAGGGCAACAUGGGCAUCUGUGGUGCUACGUAGAGGAGAGGAGAUAGUGCGGGGGGUGUAGGGAGUGUUUCUAGGAGGUGCAGACGGCAUCAAGAGAUGGAAAUAGUAUCCUGCCUCUGCCCCGUGUACAUAUGUGCUUGUUUUUGAGGGCGUCCGAAAGUUUCAGGGAUUAUUAAUGGAUCCAUGGGGAAAGGUGGAGAGGUAUUUUAGGGACAGACAAGAGAGGAAAAGAGAGUAUGGGGAAAGAAAAAGAGGAAGCAUCGCUUCUUCUUAUUCUAUGUAAAGCUGUGAAUGAAAAGUAGCACCUGUCCUCCAAGCUAUGACAGAAAUGACACUAGCAUAAGACCUCUAGGAUGGACCUCUCCAAGACUGGAGUUGGUGUCUUCAACAACCUUAGACACACACACACGCAUGCACGCACGCACGCACGCACACAG